UCUCCAACAUACAAAUUAGAAAGCCUGGACUUGCGGAUAUCUGCCAGGAAAGCAAGAGAAUCAAAGAAUUUUCGGCUAUGGCAUGCUAUUGUUUAUUCUUAUUGAAAGGAUAACCGAUUCGUACUCAUUAUUUGUAUGCUAUUGUUUAUUCUUACUGUAAGGAUAAUGGGAAUGGGAGUCUGCGUGCCUCGGUAGGAAAGAGAUGAGCGUAGUAUAGCACAAGAUCAUCUUUUCUUGCUGUCAUGGGGUGGACCUGUAAACCCAAUGGGAACCAAAGAACGGGAUUCUAAAUUCACAACACCCAGUUCUGGAAUGGGUUCACCAACAACCAACUCAAAAUUUAUCCUCCAUUACAUAUGAUGAAAACAAACUAGCCCAGUCUCACCAAAAAAAAGAAAAGAAGAUAAUGAAAAAGAAGAUAGGAACUCGAAGUGAGACGGCACCGUCUUAUGCAACGAAACGAUGGUUGGCCUCUGGUAGACUUGAUAAAAGGAAAAAAGAUUAUUGGGUGAUGUAAGCUUCGUUUAAAGUUUUCCGGCUUCAAACGAGCUUCUAAAGACUGACUUGGCCCGGCCUAAGGGAAAGUAAGCGGCCUUUCUCGACUCAAACUGCCGGUACGCUUUCCGGCCCGCAACGACUCAAAAAAAAAAAACUAUAAUAAAAUUUCUAAAAAAUUUUAACUAAGUAGUGAAAGAUUUAAUAGGAAACAAAGAGAAUGAUUAACAAUAUUUUAAGAAGCUCAUAGGACAUUAGUGAGGAAUUCAGAGAGAAUAAAGCAUACACAAUUUUUAGUUUAAAAUUUGAAAGUAAGCAAGUAGUGAUCAAUUUAAUUCAUGCAUUCAAAACAAGUCUAGAGAGAAUUUAGUACAUUACCUGAGAACGUCCGUAAGAAAUUUGUGGAUUUUCUCCGGAUUGCGAGAUGUCAACAGGAGGACGCAUACGGCUAGAUUGGGAGAUGAGUUAUUGGGGGUAGGAAAAUUGAUGUUUUGGAAGAGAAACUGGAGAGGAUGAAGACAUUAACGGUGCAGCUCUGGAAUUUAUAAGAGGCUGCUCGGUGGUGCUUUAUAUUUUGGAUGGAUCUCCGAAUCAGUUUGUCAUUAGGAUUGAUUUACUGGAGUUGUUGUAGAAUUGAAACUUUUUUUUUUUUCCUGUUUUAGAGUUCAGUUUCCUAAUAGAGUUGUUGUAGAAUUCUAAAAAGGAAAGGAAACCCCAUAGCUAGAUACGCUCUCGAAGUCGGCAACGUUAACCAAAUCAUGUUUCUGGUGGCUUAUUCUUCAGACUAGCAGAAUCAUCUUCUUCGAUUUCGCGUAGCAUUUGGAGGCAGCAGCUUUCCUCGUUCCCCUCUUCCUCCUCGCCCAUUCGUAUCACUGUCGUCACUAUCAACGGAUCCUUUCAUGUCUCUGAUCUUCCAUCAGAGUCUUCUCAACUUGAUGCUCUGUUUUGUGACAAUUAAAGCCACUGCUUGCUCUGGAAUCUUCAGUCCUGACCAACCCAGAAAGGGCUAUCUUAGCUUAUGUAGCUGAGAGAUGCAACAAAGGGAGGGAUAAUAAUGGAUCCUCAGUCAAAAAGUGAUUUUCAGAUAGGGGUGGAGGAAUGGUUGUGGAGGCUAGAGUGGGUGAGAGGGAGAGAAGGAAGAGUUAUUUAGAUGAGAUGAUGAGGGAGGGAUCAAGGGGAAGGUGAGAACAGCAGGAAGGAUAAUAGAUUGAGAGAAUACAGUGAAAAAAUGUGUUCUCAUAUGAGAUAUGGAGAUGGAAGAUUUGAGAGAGAAGAGAGAAUGGGUUAAGUCAGAGGAAAGGACUAGAUAUGUGUGGCUUCAUGCUGUGAUGAGGGCCUAUAUGAACUGGUUGUGCCUUGACUUGGGUGUCAGAAAGUGCAUCACUGGAGCUUGGGCAGAUUGGUGCCUGGCAACAGUGCUUCCUCCUGUCACUCUGGUCAGUCUUAAUCCUAGGAAGAUUAGCUUUUCUUUUUAAUCUAUAAUCUCUAUAUUUAUUUGUUAUAUUGUCUAAUCUCUGAUCUGUUUCCUCUUGUGAUUCUACUUGUUUUUUUCUCCUGUGAUAUUGUUUCAUUUUAUUGGGAUUUCUUCAUUUCGUUGAUUUUGUUUGUGUUAUCUUGGAAUGCAAUGGUCCUCUAACUUUGCCAAGUUGUUGCUCUUCCUUUUGUUUUCUCUUUGAUUGCUGGAUUUCUCAACUUUAUCAUCAUAGUUAAUUUCUCAUUCGCACUCUUUUGAUAUUAACAGAGAACUCUGAUGGAACUCAAUCUUGAUGUUAAGGAUCAUUUAUGAUUAUUAAUAAAAUUAUGGUACGCCUUUUAAAUUGAGAUAUGGUAUAUAGCUGUGUUUUCAUGUGCGACAUUUUUCAGGAGAUUCAUUUUCAUUAAUUUACUUUUUCUUUCUUAUUUUGUGUAUAUAUAGUUGUGUUAUAAAUAUUUGAUGUCUAAAAUUUUGAGAUGAAUUCCAAUUAACAUUUGAGAUGCAAGAUGGUUGUGGGUUCUCUCUUUAAGCCUCUGGGCAUGUAAACAAAAUGGAAUUGAACCCGGGAACUGGAAACUACUGAGAGAGACACAUGCCCAGUUGUGAUUAUAGCUUGAGCUUGGUUUUGUAUCUUCACUUAUGGCAAAGUACUACCCUUCAUUUUGGGAAAAACUCUCAUUCUCAAGUAUCUCAGCAUCUGUUGGCCAGUUUUCUUCAAUCUACUCAUAUACAAAUUUCGUGCCAUUUAGUAAAACAAAACAUUUGCUAGUGCUUCCUCAUGCUUUAUUCAACCAUAUGACUUCAAGGCUGCAGCCGCUCGUUGGAAAGAAGUGUGAAUUUGUGGAUAGUCCGAGGAGUUUGUUUCUUUUUUCAGGCUGUACCAGAACUCCACAAGCUUUGUCCUCAAUAUCAGAAGGAAUGAGAGUAAGUGGGAAGGUAAAAGUAAUGCUGUUUGCUUUUUCUUUCUUAUUUUUUUUUUAUUUGAUGGUAUCUCUUCUGUUUCACCCUAACAGUAGAGUGGGUUUUGAUCUUGGUCCUAUUAUGUUUAUUAUUUAUUCUCUUUUCCUCAUUUGAUUUCUGCCUAUCUCUCGAUUUUUGGUGUCAAUUCUGUGGAUUUCAUGGUGGUUUGAUUUUCAUCUUAUGAAUUUUGAGGAUUUUCUGGUGGCUUGGUCUCCGGCUUUCGUCACUUUGAGUUAGUUUAUCUUGAGUUAAGUUUUGGGUUCAUGCAAGUGGUAGUGUUGAGUUGGUGUAUAUCUUUUUUCCAAUCUAUCUAAUAAUAUAUAUAUACAUAUAUUUUUUUCAUAAUGAAUAACAUUUUCGCUAAUCCCCCUUUUUCUUGGUUUUAAAUUGGUAUGAACAGUUAUUUAUACCCUUACAGGCUUAACUUUCUAAAAUUUUCAGAUUUAAUAUCAAGCAUAUAGAAUAGUUUCAUUUUCAAAAGCUAGAGAUGAAUUUUUUAAUCUUUAGAUGAUACAUUAUCAUUUCAUUUAGUGAUGGGUAUGAGUUUUUGAUUUUGGUGCAUGACAAAAGAGGCAUGGCAGAAUUUUAUUACCAAGAAACGUGUUUGUUGAUUUCUCCUCCAUGGAUCUUAUCACAAUUCUCAACUUUUUUUGGAAUAAUUCACUGCUUCUUUUCAGCUUAAGUAUAAUUGUAAGCGCACAUUUAACAUGUGAAAUCAUCCUAAAUGUUGCUGAGGGUGAAUAGAUACAUUGAUUCCUAUUAUUUAAUUCAGAUUCAAACCAAGCAUGAGGUAUUUUCUCAAAGCUUGUAUUAUUCUUUGUUAUUAUAAACUCGAUUCAAAGUUUGUAUUAUUCUUUGUUAUUAUAAGCUCGAUUCAGUGAACUGUGUGAACAACCUUUAGUUUUAUUUAAUGGUUGUGAAUAUUAACUAUAUAUACUGAGUUAAUAUAGUAAUUUUGGAUAUUCUUUCUGCUGUUUCUAAAGAUUGUGAAAUCUGUGAAGUCUUUUUUAGAGGGUUAACUUGACAGAAUGUUUGGAGAAAGAUCUUUUUCAUCUUCUUGGUAUGCAAAUAUAACCUUUUUUUGGCCAACCUGAUUGUAAAAAUUAAAGGAGUGUGAUUACUUUUUUUGGUGAACCUGAUUGUAAAACUUAAAAGAAGUGUGGGAACAGCUUUAGAAACAUUCUCUUUGCAUUACCAUCUUUUUUGGGAGACUAGAGAUUUAAGAAUUAUAUAAAAAUAAAAUUGAGAUUGCAAAUAUUUUCUCUAGAAUUGGUGAUCUGGAUAAUAUAUUAUGUUAAAUUAAAGUUGAUAAUGUUAAUUGUUAUGCAUUGGUCAAACUUGGGUUAAACUUUUAUGUUGAUCAAUCUAGCUUAGUCCGAACUUUGUGAAGCAUCAGCUUUGCUAUGCUUUGAUUCGGUGAUCUGGGUUCUGCUUCUUUGGUGUUUGUUUAUCCAGGUUAGCAACCAAUUAUAUCCUGAUUCUUUGAUAUAUUGAUAACCUUUUGUCCUGGAGUUUCUUCUUAAUAUUUCUGUAUGUAUUGGUUUCAUGACUUCAUUUGUUGCAACUUUCAUCUUCUCCAGCUGCUUUCACUCGGAAAAAUCUCGGAGGCAUGAUGCAUCUAUUUUAACUUUCUAACAUUUUAUUAUAAUUCAGUAAAUCUGCAUAAUAAUCAUUUUAACAUUGUUGUAAUAAUUCAUUAGGAGAUUACUCCGAAGCACCAUAACAGAGUCUGUUGAUUUUUCGAACUUCCAGCACUUGUGUUGGUUGAUUUUCUGCUGGCUGUGAUAUUUGUCUUUCUGAGUUUUCCUCAAAGAAACAAUGAAGUACAUCAGUACAAUGGCUCUAAAAAGAUUGUUCAACA